UACGGGGGAUGCAAGCGUUAUCCGGAAUCAUUGGGUGUAAAGCGCCUGUAGGUUGUUGAUAAGUCUGUUGUUAAAGCCUAGGGCUUAACCCUAGAAAAGCAAUGGAAACUACCAGACUAGAGUAUGGAAGGGGUAGAGGGAAUUUCUAGUGUAGCGGUGAAAUGCGUAGAUACUAGAAAGAACACCAGAAGCGAAAGCGCUCUACUGGGCCAGUACUGACACUCAGAGGCGAAAGCUAGGGUAGCAAAAGGGAUUAGAUACCCCUGUAGUCCUAGCCGUAAACGAUGGAUACUAGAUGUUGGAUUAUACAGUAUCGUAGCUAACGCGUUAAGUAUCCCGCCUGGGGAGUACGCUCGCAAGGGUG
rnacentral:rRNA from 1 species